UACGAAGGGGGCAAGCGUUGUUCGGAAUUACUGGGCGUAAAGCGCACGUAGGCGGCUUUUUAAGUCAGAGGUGAAAUCCUGGAGCUCAACUCCAGAACUGCCUUUGAUACUGGAGAGCUUGAGUCCGGGAGAGGUGAGUGGAACUGCGAGUGUAGAGGUGAAAUUCGUAGAUAUUCGCAAGAACACCAGUGGCGAAGGCGGCUCACUGGCCCGGUACUGACGCUGAGGUGCGAAAGCGUGGGGAGCGAACAGG
rnacentral:rRNA from 1 species